AACUCCUGUAAGUUGUCAACCUAGACCAUAUAACUCCUGUAGAUUGGUAACCUAGACCAUAUAACUUUUGUACGUAGAUUGGGAAAUGCCAACUGAUUAUAUGAUCAAAAUAACGUGGA